AGUCAGUGCAUCAAUACCUUGGCUCUAGACUGCUUACUGCUUAAAACUCAGUGAAACUACAGUAACAGUCUACAGUCAUGGCUACUGAUGUCUGGC
rnacentral:pre_miRNA from 8 species